CCUACGGGAGGCAGCAGUAGGGAAUCUUCGGCAAUGGGCGAAAGCCUGACCGAGCAACGCCGCGUGAGCGAUGAAGGCCUUCGGGUCGUAAAGCUCUGUUGUUAGGGAAGAACAAGUACCGUCGAACAGGGCGGUACCUGACGACCUAAC
rnacentral:rRNA from 1 species